rnacentral:rRNA from 1 species
UAGGGAAUCUUCCGCAAUGGACGAAAGUCUGACGGAGCAACGCCGCGUGAGUGAUGAAGGUUUUCGGAUCGUAAAACUCUGUUGUUAGGGAAGAACAAGUUGGGUAGUAACUGACCCAACCUUGACGGUACCUAACCAGAAAGCCACGGCUAACUACGUGCCAGCAGCCGCGGUAAUACGUAGGUGGCAAGCGUUGUCCGGAAUUAUUGGGCGUAAAGCGCUCGCAGGCGGUCUUUUAAGUCUGAUGUGAAAGCCCACGGCUUAACCGUGGAGGGUCAUUGGAAACUGGAGGACUUGAGUACAGAAGAGGAGAGUGGAAUUCCACGUGUAGCGGUGAAAUGCGUAGAGAUGUGGAGGAAUACCAGUGGCGAAGGCGACUCUCUGGUCUGUAACUGACGCUGAGGAGCGAAAGCGUGGGUAGCGAACAGG